rnacentral:rRNA from 1 species
CCUACGGGAGGCAGCAGUGAGGAAUAUUGGGCAAUGGACGCAAGUCUGACCCAGCCAUGCCGCGUGCAGGAAGACGGCUCUAUGAGUUGUAAACUGCUUUUGUACGAGGGUAAACGCAGAUACGCGUAUCUGUCUGAAAGUAUCGUACGAAUAAGGAUCGGCUAACUCCGUGACAGCAGCCGCGGUAAUACGGAGGAUUCAAGCGUUAUCCGGAUUUAUUGGGGGUAAAGGGUGCGUAGGUGGUCGGAUAAGUUAGAGGUGAAAUCCCGAGGCUCAACUUCGGAAUUGCAUCUGAUACUGUUCGGCUAGAGUGUAGUUGCGGUAGAGGGAAUGUAUGGUGUAGCGGUGAAAUGCGUAGAGAUCAUACAGAACACCGAUUGCGAAGGCAGCUUACCAAGCUACUUCUGACGUUGAGGCACGAAAGCGGGGGGAGCAAACAGGAUUAGAUACCCGAGUAGUC